rnacentral:rRNA from 1 species
GACGAACGCUGGCGGCGUGCUUAACACAUGCAAGUCGAACGGAAAGGCCCUGCUUUUGUGGGGUGCUCGAGUGGCGAACGGGUGAGUAACACGUGAGUAACCUGCCCUUGACUUUGGGAUAACUUCAGGAAACUGGGGCUAAUACCGGAUAGGAGCUCCUGCUGCAUGGUGGGGGUUGGAAAGUUUCGGCGGUUGGGGAUGGACUCGCGGCUUAUCAGCUUGUUGGUGGGGUAGUGGCUUACCAAGGCUUUGACGGGUAGCCGGCCUGAGAGGGUGACCGGCCACAUGGGGACUGAGAUACGGCCCAGACUCCUACGGGGGGCAGCAGUGGGGAAUAUUGCACAAUGGGAGGAAGCCUGAUGCAGCAACGCCGCGUGCGGGAUGACGGCCUUCGGGUUGUAAACCGCUUUCGCCUGUGACGAAGCGUGAGUGACGGUAAUGGGUAAAGAAGCAGCGGCUAACUACGUG